AGCCUAUGCCCGUCUCUAUGCAAAAUCCUUGAGACUACAAUUGAAUUCUGAUGUCAAUGGCCUCCACCUAUCCAACCUUUUCCACAUCAUCAGAAGAAGGAGGGGCAUCUAUUAUGUCAACAGUUACUUUGGGACCGGGCGAAAAUGACGGUAUAUAGGCCUAUAUCAAAAACAGUUACUUUUGCCCUACAGGUUGUAGUAAGAUAUCGCAGUCGUUUAUUGUUUUUCUUUUUAGGAGUGGUUGGUAGGCUAUAGAAUUGUGCAGCUUAUGCUCUAUCCACGACAAUCGUCCCGUUAUCUAAUGAUGCCGGGCGCACGAACUGUGGAGCCCUUGGGUGAGGCUUCCGAAGUUUUUACAGAUUGUAUUUCGAACUUCUAGAUCAGCGCCAAGUCAUCCACCAUAAAGAUGAGAUUCUUUAGGCUGGACCAGAUGCAGACGAGGGGCAUGCCUUUGCCGUGCUAGUGCCGCAGUCUGUGAUGACUCCAUCGGUGGUGUCUGGCUCUUCCGUGGGCAGCAGAUGGCUUGAAGGACCAGUGGCUGGAGGAUCUGCAAGCAAGUGAUGGCAGAUGGAAACACCAUCAAAGCGAGAGAUGGCAUGGCACUGCAGAGGACCCGAUACCAAAGCCCUGGUCCAAUCCUUUCUAACACGAUGACCAGCUCAAUCCAUCAUUGAGAUGAGUAGCUCAGCUAUUAAAAGUCAAAACACUAUUAACAAUGAAUCCAGUUCAUAGCAGUGAAAAUGUUUACAUUAGUUGUCAUAAACAGAUUGUUUUUGAUCCGUUCUGGCACGUACAAUAUUAGUCAUGAUUAUGGAAGUGCCAAAAUCAAAUCAAAUCAAAUUUUAUUUGUCACAUACACAUGGUUAGCAGAUGUUAAUGCAAGUGUAGCGAAAUGCUUGUGCUUCUAGUUCCGAGGUGAGUGCUAUCAGAACUAUGUAUGACCCUUGGAUUUGCUGCCAGGUUUAUAAUACACUGAUGUGGGAAAUAAAGUACUGU